rnacentral:rRNA from 1 species
AGCAGCCGCGGUAAUUCCAGCUCCAAUAGCGUAUAUUAAAGUUGUUGCAGUUAAAAAGCUCGUAGUUGAACUUCGGGGUUUACCCAUUGGUCAGGCUUAAUUGUCUGUACUGGUGAGAUAAAUCUCUACCUUCUGAGGAACUUUCAUGCCAUUUAUUUGGUGUGAUUGGAAAUCAGGACUAUUACUUUGAAAAAGUUAGAGUGUUUAAAGCAGGCUAACGUCUGAAUAUAUUAGCAUGGAAUAAUGAAAUAGGACGGCUUGGUUCUAUUUCGUUGGUUUCUAGGAUCACCGUAAUGAUUAAUAGGGAUAGUUGGGGGCAUUAGUAUUCAAUUGUCAGAGGUGAAAUUCUUGGAUUUAUUGAAGACUAACUACUGCGAAAGCAUUUGCCAAGGAUGUUUUCAUUAAUCAAGAACGAAAGUUAGGGGAUCGAAGACGAUCAGAUACCGUCGUAGUCUUAACCAUAAACUAUGCCGACUAGGGAUCGGAUGAUGUUAAUUUUUAAUGACUCAUUCGGCGCCUU